rnacentral:rRNA from 1 species
GGACUACUGGGGUAUCUAAUCCCGUUCGCUCCCCUAGCUUUCGCACCUGAGCGUCAGUAACUUGCCAGGACGCUGCCUUCGCCUUUGGUGUUCUUCCAGAUCUCUACGCAUUUCACCGCUCCACCUGGAAUUCCGCGUCCCUCUCAAGCCCUCAAGUCUUCCAGUUUUCUGAAUCGUGUGAUGGUUAAGCCACCACCUGUCACUCAAAACUUAAAAGACCGCCUGCGUGCUCUUUACGCCCAAUAAAUCCGGACAACGCUUGCCCCCUACGUAUUACCGCGGCUGCUGGCAC